GAAACUUCUGGAAAACUUGCAAACGUUUGCGUUACUUUACUCUGCGAGUAACUAACGGCUUAUUGGAGCAUCGCUAAAGUCACAUGAUCAACUUGCCGAUAGAAAACGUGCACAUGCACUUUCGAAGGUUGUUCUACGUCUACCAGUCCGUAGUCUCAAAUACAAUGGAGGAUCUUCACAAGAUCGUGCUGGUCGUGGUAUCAGUUCUGCGUAAUUGGAAGAAAAAUAUUUCAUUGUAAUAUAUUAAACUACAUAAUUAUCUUAGAUAUAACAUUGUACUUUCAUUUUACAAUGAAUCCUCUCAAAUGUUAAAAUUAAAAAAUUAAUGUUAUUUUGAAUUUGUAUAUACACGAAAGGUCCUCACUCUUCUGUACAAUAAAAAAGUUAAUGUCUUAUCUUAAAAUAGCUAUAAGAAAAAUGAACACUGCAUAAUUGAAUAAAACUGAUUAAUUUCAACUGGUCCUCUCAGUAUUAAGCUGAAUAUCUGCAUAAGAAAUACCACACUAAAAACAUUUGACAAUUUUUUUUAUAAUUGUUUAAAUAUUUUUUGAAUAAAAAAAAAAAAAAAAAAAAAA